AAGAGGCACUCACCUCCAGACUGCAGCAGUGUUCCUCUUUAAGAACUCUACCCUUACAUAAACCAUCACGUGUUAUAGCCUGUAAUGUCAUUUCAUUUUUGUACCAAUGGAGGGCAAUAUUUAAUCACUGGUAUCACUGCUCUUCUCUAGGAGAGUCUCAGCAUGUUCUGCACACAUUGGUCACCACUCUCCCAGAGUAAUCAUCUUAGUCCUACAGCCUUCUUACAGUCUUCCAACCGUAUUGAGCUUUGCUUAGAGCUUUCAUACAACUUUUGUCCUCCUGAUGCCCCUGAAAUUCAGCAUGUCUUGAAAGAAGUCUGUGAUUGUUAUAAAGCUCUUCUCUUUCUUUCGUUUGGCUCUACUCUCUACAGUGAGGAUGACAUCCCCAGUUUUGAUGAAUCAGCGAGUCCCUCGUACUGGCCGGUGGCUGCCCAGCAAGACCCCACAUGAUCGGGCUUUCUGGGUGAGGAUGUGCCCCCUCUAAGGUGGUUCUUCAGCAAGGCACCGACAGCACCGGCCAGGUCUGAGUAAGUACUGCUCUGAAGGAAUCUUUCACUAAUAACAGGGUGGGAUUGAUUGCACUGACAGAGUAACAACAAGGAAUGUGUGUAACAACAAGACUGUGUGUGCAGAACCUCUAAACUGCCUCGACACACUGCAACUGAUCUUCCUUUGUUUGCCCACCUCAGCAUGCUGUUCAAAUGGAUUGAUUUGUGGUUCUGCUAUUGUCAGGGGAGUUUCAGUCAGAUGUGAUAGAGGUACAGCACAGGUGCCUGAUGCAUCAGUGGUAGAGCAGAGUCUUCUAUUGUCACGACUCUGAGAUGCUGUGUUAGCAUUAAAUGGUUGUCUUUGUUUACCCAUCCUCUUCAGGCAACGGUGUGCAUUAGCAUCUCCCCUCUCGUAGCAUCUCUGUCUCUUCUCAGCAGAUCUCCAUCAACUUCUUAGGGGAAUCACAGCUCUCACAUUCUGACUUCUCUCUCUGCUUUGAUGUACUGCUUCAAAGGAUUCUGAAAAUAUCAGUGUUUAAACUCACUUUUUUCCUGAUGGCUUUCUUUUGCCUAGAAUUUGAGGAAGUAGGAAGUUCAUGUUGGAAAACAGAAUCUAGGCACUGUGUGUUUAUUGUCCUUGUUAUAUCGAAGCUUGGUAGAACAAAGAAUCAUCUCUAUUGGGAGUUUGAUCGUGAAUCACAUGAACUGUUCGCUACAAAUUGAGAUCGUUGCCAUUGAUAAGGCACUUGGUGAGUUAUUGUUAGGGAAAUGUGUGCGUAGGUAGGCCUGUGUGGCCAAAAAUAGAUUCUGUAACAAGAAAAGAAGUGCUGAAAUGUCUGAAAUGAUCAAUCAAGUCUAUGUUGAGAGAACAUGUAUUUCUAUGGAAACAGUUGUUUCACCUCUGUUUCUAUCUCUCCCCUCCCUCAGCUAGUUCCUUUAUCUGGCCAACAUUCAAUUAGACUACAAUACAUACAUACAUAUUAAUGAUAGUUAAGUAAUACAUGUUGAUAUUUAUGUCUUUAGUCUUGUUACAAUAUCCCUCACACCCCCGUUGUUUUAAAGUAAUCAUCAUUAAAAAUGUAUGAUGAUUACUAGGAAAUAUCUGCCUUUCCCCUUUGUCUGACACAGAUAGCUCAUGAAGGAAUAAUACUGUAUAUCUUACUUAGAUACACUGGACGUGUAAAGAUUUUCAAUGUACUAAGUUCCAUUCAAAGACAGAGAAGUGGUUUGUGUAGGGUCUAACUAGGGACAGAUAUAGUUGGCUUUAUUAGUGUUCCCAAUGGGGCACAGAGGGCUAUGUGGAUUGGACUGAGUAAGGGGCAUAUCCACACUCUUAGAAAAAAAAGGGUUCUACAAAAAGGGUUCUACAAAAAAAGGAUUCUACAAAAGGGUUCUACAGAG
rnacentral:lncRNA from 8 species